CUCACUUUGUGCUUAGUAAGGGCUUUUUCUCUCUCAAGUGAUCUCAUUGCAUUGCAUUUUUUAAUGCAUGUUGCACUAAUCAGAGUAUGCACUGAAACGCUGGAGUCUGAUGAACAUGGAUCACAUGAAGACAUCCUUUAAUGAGAUGUUGAAUGCCCCAAAACAGAAGGCGAUCUAUUCGUACAUCACAGCGGGAGGUGACAGGGUCCUGCUGACAUCACAGGAGGCUCCAGAGGACGACCCGGCGCUGAGAGCUCGCACGCUGCACAAGGUUUGUGCAGGAAUGAAGCGUGUCCUGUUCGUUGGAAUAUCCUGUGGCAUGUCUGUAUGAAUAACACUAUUGUCUUUUUCUAAAAUCACAUUAUUUAAUCAAUAGUAAAGGACAAAAGUUGUGACAACAGAAAUUUAAAAAAGCCAUCUCCUCAUUUGUAGAAUAAUUUAACUAAAAAUGUUUUAUUUUAGGGUGACCAGACAUCCCACCUUUCCAAGAACAGUCCUGGUUUUUCAACUUUACAUUUCACAAAAAAACAACAACAACAAAAAAGCCUUCAAAAGCAAAAAAUAUUUAAUAACAUAUAUAAAAAAUAUUUUAAAAAUGUUAUUACUGUAUGCAGCAUCACAGUUCUUGAAAAUGAAAUAUUAUAAAUUUAGAAAAAUAGUUUAUUUAAAAUAGAUAUAAAAAAUAAAAAACGUUACAGUUUUAUUUAUAUAAAGUUCUCACCUUUAUUUUGGAAAUUGUGUUAUACUAUUCCCAAAAUAAAGGGAUGUGUUAUGUGUUAAAACCAAUGUGUUAUGUGUUAAAAACCACCCAGAGCUCUCUCCUCACAUGUUCUUCUGAAAAUAGUAUAUAUAUUUUUCUAUAUGCAUUGGCUACUUUUUACUAUUUUUACUAGUGUGAUUUUCGAUUAAUUGUAUUUAAAACAGUUAGGGUCAAUUUAAACCUGCAAACAUCAUAAUAAUUAUGAAUUAAAUAACAAUAAUAAUAUAUGAAGCCCACAACAAAUAAAAAACAAAAGCAUACAAAAAUGUAUUGUCCCCAUUUUUUUCUUCAUAGGUAAUAAGAAAUGUGAUUUUAAUUAUAUUGUAUUUUGGCCAUGCACUGGACCACUGAAAAAGGCACAAAAGAUGUCACUGAUGGUACUUUUUCAAAUAUGUACAUUUUUGCUACAAAUAUGAACAUUUAAGGUACUAAAAGGCACCUUUUUGGGGUAAGUGAGGUACAAAAGGUGUACCUCUCGAAAGGUAUUAAAACACUGAAAGCUUUUGCACCUUUUUUGAGUUUACUAUAGGAAAUGUCUGCAGUUUUUAUUUGAUUUCUUUCAGACGUAUGUAGGUAACAUUAAUGUGAGCUCUUAUCAAAGCCGUCUGUGUGUCAGCUGUGAAUGCACUUCAUGAUGUUAUUCUGUGUCAAAGGCACCAUUUGUUGCUGGGCAACUUGAUUUUUGUCUGAAGCACUUAGACGUCUUUACUCCAGUGCUUCUGGGAUUCAGUCCUGUACCUAUGGCAAGGUAGAUCUACCGAGUGCAAACAAGGCCUUUCUGCAUAUUCCAAACUCUCAUAUUUUGAUUUCAAGUGCCUAGUAACAAGAGUAGAUUGCACAUACUAACAUUCUUGCCAUGCUGACAGGAGUGAAGCAAUCUGUUCAUUUCACUUUAAAGACGUUGCAGAGAGGAUGACUGCAGAGCAGAAAGUGCUCCUCCUGAAUCCUGUCUUAGGAGUAUGAGACGCAUUGCAUUGACACAAACACAUCUGUGCACGUGUAACACACCACCGACUGCUCUGAACACCUUGGCAACCACCCUAGCAACCCAGGACACUCUAUAAUAAUGGCUGCACAGGCAUUCUAUAGAAAAUGUCAAAAUUCUUACUGAUGUUUAUGGAGUGUCCAUCCAUCAUAAGAAGCUCUGGUCUCUACUCAUAUAGGCUGAGGCCAUCAGCGGAUCGUCCCGGAUGAAAGGAGGCAAUGCAACUAAAAUCAUUCUGAAAACUAUUCUUCUGGCAGGACGUGAAGCUGCAUUUAGAGGAAAGAUAACAACACCUGAGACUGACUUAUGCAAGUGAAUGCAUCCCAACAUAUGGAGCAGAGGUUUUAUCAACAAUGGUUUCAGCAAAAUGAAAAACAAAGAGGGGGAUCUGUCAUCUUUGAUGACCUGCAUGAGGUGACGGCACUAGCCGAUAAAGUGAGGCGAAGGACAUCUAAUUUGCAUGCAAUUGCUCAUGACCUUGAGAAAUUCACUGUUCCUGAAAGAGUAUGCAACAUGUUUGAAACCGUUCUGCACAUCACAUGUUUUUUUUUCCUCAGAGGACGUGAACUCAUUUUUAAUGAGACAGCACUGGGAGCUUUCAACUAAAUGGUGUCUUAAUGAAAUCAGCACAGGAGCUCAU